GAGAGAGAGAGAAAGCGAGAGAGAAUCUCCAUAAAGAGAAGGAAAACAGAAUAGAUCAAUCUUUCAAAAAAAAUGAGAGCUACAACUCUCAUCUUUGGUUUCAUAAGUACGCAUUAUCUUUUGUGCAGACCUUUCAUCCUAAAAGGAUAAGCAACAAAAAUACCUUUGAAACCAAAACAAAAAGAUGGCUUUUUAUAAGCAAGUUAUGUACCAACCUUCUCUUUGAUCCAGUCUCCAAGGUAUCAAGAAUCCAAAAUAUUGUAUCAAAGUAACUUUUAAGAUAAACAUGCCAUGGUACCAAAGCAUCAUCUUUAUGCUUCCCAAUUCAUCGUGUCAAAAAAUAUCUCAAUUACAUCGACAAAACUACACUAUGUUCUUAAACAGUGAUUUUAACUUUAUGGAUAUUCAUUAUUAAUAAAAUGCCUUCUAAAAGAUUUCCAAAAAGUAAUUGACAAUUUUUUUUCCCAAAACUGUAAAAUCAGCAUAAAUGAAUACCCUAUUUUCACAAGGAUUAUAAAAUGUAAAAUACAAAUGACAUAUAUAUGAAAAUAACACCUCUAACUUAAGCCUAACUGCUUUGUAGAAAUAUUUUAGGCUCUAAUCAAACACAUCUAACUGAUACAAGAUGAACAGCUCUAGACAAGACUUCCUAAUCCUAUAAUUUCCUCUUUCAGGGGGGAAAUUUGUUGCAUAAGUAUCCUUCAGAUGAAUAGGUUUAUUCACAGAAUUACAGGGUAUUCAACAUGUACAGCCAAGACACCCUCACCUCCAAAUGAAUGCCUAUUAUCUUUGACAAAAAGUACAGAUCUGAUCAGAUACAUCUAGUUGGUACUGAUGAGUAUCUCUAAACAUGAUUUGCAGAUCCCACAAGGUUCCCUUCUGCCACCGACAAAAAGUAGGGGCAAAAUCUUCCUUGAAAUGAAUAGCUAUAGCAUAAUUCACCAGGGUGUCAAAACAUAUGACCAUGACAUCCUCCUCUAAUAAUCAACAUAUAAACGAAAAUAAUGCCCCUAAAUUAGUCCUUAUAUGAUUGGCAAGAGUUCAGAAAUUCAGAUCUCUAAUAAGAAAAAUCUAACCACUACAACAUGAACAUCUUCAAAAAUGACUCUGGUACCACAUUGCCCCCUUUUAGCACCAACAAAGAGUUGGUAAAAUAAACAAUAUACAUAUAUAACAUGUGUGUCAAAGAAGAAUUCUAAGAAUAGUUCAUUUUUGCCAGAUCAUAGGAGUCUAUCCAUUU
rnacentral:misc_RNA from 1 species